GCAGGGAAGAACUGAGGGGUUGGGGGAGGCAUGCCACAGGGAAGUGCUGGAUGCUGGCCCAGUUUUCCACAGUGCCUUUGCCUGGCUUUCUGCUUCCGUGUUUCUUUUUCUUCUUGGAGCCGUCUACAGGCACAUAGGGAGGACACUCCUCCCGGCCCAAGGAAUUGUGAAUAUGAGACCAAGACGGCCAUCAUGUAGGCUGAGAUGGGGUUUCUGCUCCUCCACGUGCUGUGCAAGGAUGUACCACAGUGCAGGAGGGCCUCCCUGGGAGGGCACAGUGACAAAAGAUGAGAACCUGAUGAUCAACUUCCACCAUCCAUUUAUGCCUCUUCUCACACGUUGUUUCAGCAGGACAUCAGGACAAUGAACUAACAGUGGCAUGCUUGAAGUGAGAGCCCAAACACCGGGAGACCAAUAAUGGAUUUUCUUCACCUGGGGGGAUGGGACAUGUGGCAUUCCAGUUUCUACUCAGAAAUAUUUACAUAGAUUUCACAAAAUGAGAAAAUCCCAUCAAGAAGGGUGGAGAUGUGAUCUGACAUGUGGCAUUCCAGUUUCUACUCAGAAAUAUUUACAUAGAUUUCACAAAAUGAGAAAAUCCCAUCAAGAAGGGUGGAGAUGUGAUCUCCUUGUCUGGAAGUAGAGACGGUCAUGAAUUAAACCUGUGAAGAAGCAGAAAGGACUGCCACUGCUAUCAAGGAGAGGAGAAUCCAGAAUGGUUCUUCCAUGUGCUGCUGUUUACUGAUGUGGACUCCUGAGAGAGAGAUGUAAGUACGGAUAUGACUUUCACUGAAAAGAAAUUGUACACAGAUACAGUGAAGUAGUGUAUCUUCUGUUCCUCAUCACAAUUUGUACCAAGAAUCACAAUACAAAAGCUUAUCUGAAUUUAUGGUUGGAUAAAUGAUUUUGUGACAUGGGUCAAGGAACCCUUGACCUAAUUAUUUAACUAGCCUCUGGAGCAUCAUUUCUCUGACUGUACAAUAGGAAUCUGAAUUUCUCUUGGACUUUGAUAUGCUUAAUUAAUGUGCAAGGUCUUCUGGCAGGUGUAAUAUCUUAAAAUGUAUGUAAGCAUUUUGAGGACCUGUGCACUGAGAUCCCCAUUUCCACUGAGUGCUGCAGUUGAAACAGGCAACAAGAUGGGCUGUGUGACAGGGUGCACAGCACAGGGUGCUCUCAACCAUAAAGUUAAAGACAGUGUGUACUCCAGACAGCUUGCAACCUAAAUACUGGGGAUUUAUUUUAGCAGCUGUUUACAUAAUUCUUAUAUCAGUGUGAAAAUUGUCUAUGAAAAUAUUUAAAAGUAAAUGCAAUUUAUUCUUCCAAAGUUCAGUAUCCAGUUCCUAAACGUGGAGCUCCAGAUGGAGGUUUAUUUACUAGAAGUGUGUCUGUAACAUUAUGUGUGGCAGUAUAUUCUAUUCCUUCCCUUUUUACAGGGUAAUAUUCCUAUGUGAAAGUUCCAUUUUGAACCUACUCCAUACCAAAUAUUUUCUUUUUCAGUCACCUAGGAAGACAUUUCUGAAAACUGUAUAUACUGAAAUAGGUUAACAACUUUCUUGCUUUUCUCACAGAUCACCUUAAUAAAUGUUUCAUUGAUUCUUUACUAUGUUAAUUG
ensembl:lncRNA